rnacentral:rRNA from 1 species
GACAGAGGGUGCAAACGUUGCUCGGAAUUACUGGGCGUAAAGCGCGUGUAGGUGGCUUGGUGUGUCAGAUGUGAAAGCCCUGGGCUCAACCCAGGAACUGCACCUGAAACUACCAGUCUUGAGUGGUGGAGAGGGAAGUGGAAUUCCUGGUGUAGAGGUGAAAUUCGUAGAUAUCAGGAGGAACACCAGUGGCGAAGGCGGCUUCCUGGACACCAACUGACGCUGAGACGCGAAAGCGUGGGGAGCAAACAGG